rnacentral:rRNA from 1 species
UACAGAGGUCUCAAGCGUUGUUCGGAUUCAUUGGGCGUAAAGGGUGCGUAGGCUGUCGAGCAAGUCAGAUGUGAAAUUUUGGGGCUCAACCUCAAAACUGCAUUUGAUACUUCUCAACUAGAGCAUUAUAGAGGAGACUGGAAUUUACGGUGUAGCAGUGAAAUGCGUAGAUAUCGUAAGGAAGACCGGUUGCGAAAGCGAGUCUCUGGAUAAUUGCUGACGCUGAGGCACGAAGGCCAGGGGAGCAAACGGG